rnacentral:rRNA from 1 species
AUACGUAGGGUGCGAGCGUUGUCCGGAAUUACUGGGCGUAAAGAGCUCGUAGGUGGUUUGUCGCGUCGUCUGUGAAAUUCCGGGGCUUAACUCCGGGCGUGCAGGCGAUACGGGCAUAACUUGAGUACUGUAGGGGAGACUGGAAUUCCUGGUGUAGCGGUGAAAUGCGCAGAAAUCAGGAGUAACACCGGUGGCGAAGGCGGGUCUCGGGGAAGUAACUGACGCUGAGGAGCGAAAGCAUGGGUAGCGAACAGGAUUAUAUACCCUGGUAGUCCAUGCCGUAAACGGUGGGCGCUAGGUGUAGGGGUCUUCCACGACUUCUGUGCCGUAGCUAACGCAUUAAGCGCCCCGCCUGGGGAGUACGGCCGCAAGGCUAAAACUCAAAGGAAUUGACGGGG